UACGGGGGGGGCAAGCGUUGUUCGGAAUUACUGGGCGUAAAGGGCUCGUAGGCGGCCACCUAAGUCAGACGUGAAAUCCCCAGGCUCAACCUGGGAACUGCGUCUGAUACUGGAUGGCUUGAAUCCGGGAGAGGGAUGCAGAAUUCCAGGUGUAGCGGUGAAAUGCGUAGAUAUCUGGAGGAAUACCGGUGGCGAAGGCGGCAGCCUGGACCGGCAUUGACGCUGAACGGCGAAAGCUAGGGGAGCAAACGGG
rnacentral:rRNA from 1 species